rnacentral:rRNA from 1 species
UGGGGAAUCUUGGACAAUGGGGGCAACCCUGAUCCAGCCAUGCCGCGUGAGUGAUGAAGGCCUUAGGGUCGUAAAGCUCUUUCGCCUGUGCAAGAUAAGAUGAACGGUAGCAGGUAAAGGAAACCCCGGACCGUAACAUCCGGUGCCAGCAGCCGCGGUAAUACGGAGGGGGUUAGCGUUGUUCGGAAUUACUGGGCGUAAAGCGCACGUAGGCGGACCAGAAAGUUGGGGGGAUGAAAUCCCGGGGGCUCAACCCCGGAACUGCCUCCAAAACUAUUGGUCUAGAGUUCGAGAGAGGUGAGUGGAAUUCCAAGUGUAGAGGUGAAAUUCGUAGAUAUUUGGAGGAACACCAGUGGCGAAGGCGGCUCACUGGCUCGAUACUGACGCUGAGGUGCGAAAGUGUGGGGAGCAAACAGGAUUAGAUACCCUGGUAGUCCACACCGUAAAACGAUGAAUGCCAGUCGUCGGGUAGCAUGCUAUUCGGUGACACACCUAACGGAUUAAGCAUU